rnacentral:rRNA from 1 species
GGGGAAUUUUGGACAAUGGGCGCAAGCCUGACCCAGCAAUGCCGCGUGCAGGAAGAAGGCCUUCGGGUUGUAAACUGCUUUUGUACGGAACGAAACGGUCCUGGUUAAUACCUGGGGCUAAUGACGGUACCGUAAGAAUAAGCACCGGCUAACUACGUGCCAGCAGCCGCGGUAAUACGUAGGGGCGAGCGUUAAUCGGAAUUACUGGGCGUAAAGCGUGCGCAGGCGGUGCUGUAAGACAGGCGUGAAAUCCCCGGGCCAACCUGGGGGUUGGGAUUGUGACUGCGGGGCUGGGGUACGGCGGGAGGGGAUGGAAUUCCGCGUGUAGCAGUGAAAUGCGUAGAUAUGCGGGGGAACACCGAUGGCGAAGGCAGUCCCCUGGGCCUGUACUGACGCUCAUGCACGAAAACGUGGGGAGCAAACA